GACGAACGCUGGCGGCGUGCCUAAUACAUGCAAGUUGAGCGCUGAAGGUUGGUACUUGUACCUACUGGAUGAGCAGCGAACGGGUGAGUAACGCGUGGGUAACCUGCCUUUGAGCGGGGGACAACAUUUGGAAACGAAUGCUAAUACCGCAUAAUAACUUUAAACACAAGUUUUAAGUUUGAAAGAUGCAUUUGCUUCACUCUAUGAUGAGCCCGCGUUGUAUUAGCUAGUUUGUGAGGUAAAGGCCCACCAAGGCGAUGAUACAUAGCCGACCUGAGAAGGUGAUCGGCCACAUUGGGACUGAGACACGGCCCAAACUCCUACGGGAGGCAGCAGGAGGGAAACUUCCGCAAUGGACGAAAGUCUGACCGAGCAACGCCGCGUGAGUGAAGAAGGUUCUCGGGUCGUAAAACUCUGUUGGUAGAGAAGAACGAUAGUGAGAGUGGAAAGCGCAUCAAGUGACGGUAACUACCCAGAAAGGGACGGCUAACUACGUG
rnacentral:rRNA from 1 species